AUUCCAAUCUAGUUUAUUAAAUAUACAAACAAACAAAAAAAUAAAACUUAACUUAAACAAAACAAUUAUUUAGUUAAUGAGAUUUCAGAAAAAACUGAGCCUAAGGAGUGCAAUGCUUAGGAGAGAGUGACACAGGAAGUUACAGUAAAGAGCCUCCUUUACUCUCCUAGUAAUUAACUUGCCGCAAAAAGUGUGGUGAGGCCGACAUGGGAUAUGGGACAUCCAUAAAGGAGUAAAGACCAGAGGAGUCAAAUGUUUCUCAGAGGCUGAUAAUCAUUGUUAUGUGUUUAUGGUAACGCGUUAUUAGAAAUUUUUGGUUGCACAUCUGAACGGCUAGGGAUACUCCUAUUCGGCGAUCCAGUUGAAGAUGAAGCAACUUCCCAUGGCCCAGUAUAGUCACCAACAGAACAAUCAACCUCUUCAUAAUCUUGCUCAAUGGUCGAAGAAAAUCCUUGAGAGGCUUUAAUUCCCUCUAACUCCAUUGCCACUGUCUUCAUGGUA
rnacentral:misc_RNA from 1 species